ensembl:lncRNA LINC02529 long intergenic non-protein coding RNA 2529
GACUGAAAUGUGCUUGUCUGUGAAGUGCCACCUAUGCCUUCAAAGUGAUAAAGAUCCAGACUGAGUUGAAAAGAAUGAUAAAGACAGAGCUGAGAGGGCCACAGUUUUAGUGACAGCCUCAGCUGUGACAAAGGAGAGAAAACAGAAAGACCUGGGAAAGUGCAAGGAUGAAGCAAUUAAGUUUGAGAAAUGUGAUGUGAGGUUUAGGAAAGGUGGAUUUUAGCCCCAGCAGACUUUUAGCUGGACACGGACCUAAUACCUUGAGACUUCAUUGUUCCCAUUAAAGAAAAAAUUAUCUUCUGACUUUCUAGGGGUUUGGGGGUCCCAGAUAUCAAAAGAUUUAAACCACUUAGGAGGUUUCCAUUGGAAGGAGAAGACUGUCUUUAGCCCACUGCAUCCCCUCAAGCCAUCCCAAGCUUUCUCUGUGCCAGGGACUGGACGCACGCUAAAAUACGAACCUGUGUGGACUUCUUUCUUAGGAGCCUUUGCACCAGCACAAGAAAGAGACAGAGACAGUGAUGGCGAGACUCAAGCACGCAUAUCUUGAUGGACUCCAAAAUGCUCUUCCUAAUUCCUUCUCUGUGGCUCAUUCUUCAUCCUCUAUUUGCAUUGGUAUGCCAAUUCAUUGCUGACACUUCAGUGGAUGACUUGGAAGUGAUUUUUAAAAAAUUAUUACAUCAAUGUCAGUAUGACAAACUUUGCCAGUUCAAAUGUGUACUGCCUUGGAAGUGGCAUUGCAUGAGGAAAAAUUAUUUUCUAACAAAAAUAGGAAUAAAAUUCAAAAUUAUAUAUAAAAAUCUAAAAUGAAAACGACAGAACCUGUAGUAACCUCUGCAUGAUGUAAAGGUGGUUGCAAUAAAAAUCGCGAGGAAAACUGAAAA